rnacentral:rRNA from 1 species
GAGUUUGAUCUUGGCUCAGGACGAACGCUGGCGGCGUGCCUAACACAUGCAAGUCGAACGAAGCUCUGCGAUACAAGACUUCGGUCAAGUUGAACGGAUGACUUAGUGGCGGACGGGUGAGUAACGCGUGAGGAACCUGCCUUUCAGUGGGGGACAACAGUUGGAAACGACUGCUAAUACCGCAUAAUGUAUUCUGACCGCAUGAUCGGAAUACCAAAGAUUUAUUGCUGAAAGAUGGCCUCGCGUCUGAUUAGAUAGUUGGUGAGGUAACGGCCCACCAAGUCGACGAUCAGUAGCCGGACUGAGAGGUUGAACGGCCACAUUGGGACUGAGAUACGGCCCAGACUCCUACGGGAGGCAGCAGUGGGGAAUAUUGGGCAAUGGGGGAAA